rnacentral:rRNA from 1 species
AUUGAACGCUGGCGGCAGGCCUAACACAUGCAAGUCGAACGAGUAGCGGACGGGUGAGUAAUGUCUGGGAAACUGCACGAUGGAGGGGGAUAACUACUGGAAACGGUAGCUAAUACCGCAUACCAUCGGAUGUGCCCAGAUGGGAUGAGCUAGUAGGUGGGGUAAUGGCUCACCUAGGCGACGAUCCCUAGCUGGUCUGAGAGGAUGACCAGCCACACUGGAACGUAGACACGGUCCAGACGCCUACGGGAGGCAGCAGUGGGGAAUAUUGCACAAUGGGCGCGAGCCUGAUGCAGCAAUGCCGCGUGUGUGAAGAAGGCCUUCGGGUUGUAAAGCACUUUCAGCGGGGAGGCGUUACCCGCAGAAGAAGCACCGGCUAACUCCGUGCCAGCAGCCGCGGUAAUAC